UACGUAGGGUGCAAGCGUUAAUCGGAAUUACUGGGCGUAAAGCGUGCGCAGGCUGUGAUGGAAGUCAGGUGGGAAAUCCCCGGGCUUAACCUGGGAACUGCAUUUGUGACUGCAUUGCUGGAGUGCGGCAGAGGGGGAUGGAAUUCCGCGUGUAGCAGUGAAAUGCGUAGAUAUGCGGAGGAACACCGAUGGCGAAGGCAAUCCCCUGGGCCUGCACUGACGCUCAUGCACGAAAGCGUGGGGAGCAAACGGG
rnacentral:rRNA from 1 species